rnacentral:rRNA from 1 species
GCUAAACGCGAAGAACCUUACCUGGCCUUGACAUCCAUGGAAUCCCGAAGAGAUUUGGGAGUGCCGCAAGGAACCAUGAGACAGGUGCUGCAUGGCUGUCGUCAGCUCGUGUCGUGAGAUGUUGGGUUAAGUCCCGCAACGAGCGCAACCCUUGUCCUUAGUUGCCAUCAUUAAGUUGGGAACUCUAAGGAGACCGCCGGUGACAAACCGGAGGAAGGUGGGGAUGACGUCAAGUCAUCAUGGCCUUUAUGGCCAGGGCUACACACGUGCUACAAUGGCAGAUACAGAGGGAAGCCAACUCGCGAGAGGGAGCCAAUCCCAGAAAAUCUGUCUUAGUCCGGAUUGCAGUCUGCAACUCGACUGCAUGAAGUUGGAAUCGCUAGUAAUCGCAGAUCAGCAUUGCUGCGGUGAAUACGUUCCCGGGUCUUGUACACACCG